GGCGGCGUGCCUGAGACAUGCAAGUCGUGGGAGAAAGUCGUAGCAAUACGGCUAGUAAACCGGCGCACGGGUGAGUAACACGUGGAUAACCUGCCUUAGAGUCUGGGAUAACCCGUCGAAAGACGAGCUAAUACCGGAUAAGACCACGGGAAGUUCGCUUCCUGAGGUAAAAGAUGGCCUCUGCUCCUGCAAGCUAUCACUUUGAGAGGGGUCCGCGCCCUAUCAGCUAGUUGGCGAGGUAACGGCUCACCAAGGCUAAGACGGGUAGCUGGUCUGAGAGGAUGGUCAGCCACACUGGGACUGAGACACGGCCCAGAGUCCUACGGGAUGCAGCAGUCAGGAAUAUUGCGCAAUGGAGGAAACUCUGACGCAGCGACGCCGCGUGGGUGAUGAAGGCCUUCGGGUCGUAAAGCCCUGUCGGAGGGGAAGAAAAGUUGACUGGCUAAUAUCCAGUUGACCUUUGACGGUACCCUC
rnacentral:rRNA from 1 species